rnacentral:lncRNA from 1 species
GCGUGUAUUUUAGUGGUUUUUUUUUUCAAAACGGUAACACCUAUACAUGAUAUUUGAUAUUCAUUGUGAAGCCCUAUAUUCCCUUCUUCAGUUCAAAGCAGUAAUACUCAUGUUAACUUUAUCUUCUUGUCUUUACAAGCCUAUAACAUAGACCCAAUAUGAAAUGCACAUCUGAUCUUGGCUAGGCCGUUUGCUUAACAACUACGACUCAACAUGACAAUCUGCACACAACUAUAAAUUAAUUCCUUUGCUGAGAAGCCAAGAAAAAUUAAUACGAAA